rnacentral:rRNA from 1 species
CCUACGUGAGGCAGCAGUGAGGAAUAUUGGUCAAUGGGCGAGAGCCUGAACCAGCCAAGUCGCGUGAGGGAGUACUGCCCUAUGGGUUGUAAACCUCUUUUGUCGGGGAGCAAAAGCCGGACGUGUCCGGCUGUGAGAGUAACCGAAGAAAAAGCAUCGGCUAACUCCGUGCCAGCAGCCGCGGUAAAACGGGGGAUGCGAGCGUUAUCAGGAUUUUUUGGGUUUAAAGGGUGCGCAGGGGGAUUUUUAAGUCAGCGGUAAAAGCGUGGGGCUAAAACCCAUCCAGCCGUUGAAACUGGGGAUCUAGAGUGUGCGAGAGGUAUGCGGAAUGCGUGGUGUAGCGGUGAAAUGCAUAGAUAUCACGCAGAACCCCGAUUGCGAAGGCAGCAUACCGGUGCACAACUGACGCUCAGGCACGAAAGCGUGGGUAUCGAACAGGAUUAGAUACCCCAGUAGUC